rnacentral:rRNA from 1 species
AACUAUAACGGUCCUAAGGUAGCGAAAUUCCUUGUCAGGUAAGUUCUGACCCGCACGAAAGGUGUAACGAUUUGGGCGCUGUCUCGGCAGCAGACUCGGUGAAAUCUUAGUACCUGUGAAAAUGCAGGUUACCCGCAACUAGACGGAAAGACCCCAUGGAGCUUUACUGCAGCCUGAUAUUGAAUUCUGGUCAUACAUGUACAGGAUAGGUGGGAGACAAAGAGACGUGCACGCCAGUGUACGAGGAGUCGACGUUGGGAUACCACUCUUGUGUGACCGGGGUUCUAACCUGGUAUCGAGAACAGGUACGGGGAGAGUGUCAGGUGGGCAGUUUGACUGGGGCGGUCGCCUCCCAAAGAGUAACGGAGGCGCCCAAAGGUACGCUCAGAUUGGAUGGAAACCAAUCGACGAGUGCAAUUGCAGAAGCGUGCUUGACUGUGAGACAGACAAGUCGAACAGGGACGAAAGUCGGGAAUAGUGAUCCGGCGGUGCCGAAUGGAAGGGCCGUCGCUCAACGGAUAAAAGCUACCCUGGGGAUAACAGGCUGAUCUCGCCCAAGAGUUCACAUCGACGGCGAGGUUUGGCACCUCGAUGUCGGCUCAUCGCAUCCUGGAGCUGGAUUCGGUUCCAAGGGUUGGGCUGUCCGCCCAUUAAAGCGGUACGCGAGCUGGGUUCAGAACGUCGUGAGACAGUUCGGUCCCUAUCUGUUGUGGGCGAAGGAGAUCUGCGGAGAGCUGUCCUCAGUACGAGAGGACCGGGAUGGACCUACCGCUGGUGCACCGGUUGUUCCGCCAGGGGCAUAGCCGGGUAGCUAAGUAGGGAAAGGAUAAGCGCUGAAAGCAUCUAAGCACGAAGCCUACUCCAAGAUGAGAUCUCCCAUUCGCAAGAAGUAAGACCCCUUAAAGACGAUAAGGUAGAUAGGCCAGGGAUGGAAGUGCAGUGAUGUACGGAGUUGACUGGUACUAAUCGGUCGAGGACUUAAUCA